GACGAACGCUGGCGGCGUGCUUAACACAUGCAAGUCGAACGGGCUGCCUGGUUUUUGGAUCGGGUGGUGAGUGGCGAACGGGUGAGUAACACGUGAGUAACCUGCCCCUCACUUUGGGAUAACGUCGGGAAAUCGGCGCUAAUACCGGAUAUUCUGGCCUCCUCGCUUGGGGUGGUUGGGAAAGGUUUUUUCUGGUGGGGGAUGGGCUCGCGGCCUAUCAGCUUGUUGGUGGGGUGAUGGACUACCACGGCGGUGACGGGUGGCCGGCCGGAGAGGGUGUGCGGCGACAAGGGGACUUAGACACGAGCCAGGCUCCUACCGGGUGCAGGAGGCAGGAGUAGUGAAUAAUGCGCAGAGGCCUGAUGCAGGGACGCCGCGUGGGGCAUGACGGACUUCGGGUUGUAGACCUCGAUCAGUGCAGAGCAGGGAUGUUUGUGGGUUGAGGGUAAUCGCAGAAGAAGCACCGGCUAACUACGUG
rnacentral:rRNA from 1 species